rnacentral:lncRNA from 13 species
AGCAUCUGUUAUUUUUUGACUUUUUAGUAAUAGCCAUUCUGACUGGUGUGAGAUGGUCUCUCAUUGCAGUUUUGCUUUUGUCAUUGAGGAAGCACAGUGAGGCAGAGCCAACAUGAUGCACACUUACUGCUCACCUGAAUACAUUCUGGGAAGACUGGAAGGACAAGGACCUACCUGAUCAGAGACAAAAAGGAAGAGCAUGGUGAGGUAGUGUCUCCAACAUACUCUAGAAGCUGUGCACUAGAAUUCCAGUACCCAAACGCUCUCUUCUUCAUCAUACACCCUGCCAACCCCUGAAAUGGAGAGUUGACAAGUACAAGAGAUUGGUUGCUUGCCGAAGUUUUUAUCCCGUGAAAAACUUGAGGGCGUGAGAGACAUGGAGAAAAACUAUUCUACAGUAUACCCUCACAUCUACCACAAGGUCUGAAAUCGGGAAUUUCUUGCUGAAUUUGUUUUGCCCAGCUUGAAAAAUGAUGAGAAAAUUGUAGGCUGGCUGUUAUAGAGUAAGAGGCUCCACUGAUCCCCACAUAGAUAGCCAAGGUGUAGGUGGAGUAUGCAUCUUCUUGCAUUUGAUGAAGAAAUAAAUGUUCAGCUUUUGCUGUCUUUGUGAUAUAG